GACGAACGCUGGCGGCGUGCUUAACACAUGCAAGUCGAACGGAGAACCCCUUCUUAGGGGCGCAGUGGCGCGGGGGAGAGGGGCAUGUACCCGUGAGUCCCCCGUCCCUGUCGUAACGAUAACCUAAUGAGGCUUGGUCCCGAAACUCACAGGAUCUCCCGCGGGAGGUGGUGCACUGGAUGGAUUCGGCGGUUGGGGGUGGAAGCGCGGCUUAUCGGCUUGUUGGUUGGGUAGUGGCAUAGCAAGGCCAGGACGGGUAGCCGGCCUGAGAGGGGGACCGGCCCCACUGGGACUGAGAUACGGCCCAGACUCCUACGGGAGGCAGCAGUGGGGAAUAUUGCACAAUGGGCGGAAGCCUGACGCAGCGACGCCGCGUGGGGGAUGACGGCCUUCGGGUUGUAAACCACUUUCGGCUGAGACGGAGCGAGAGUGACGGUACCUGGAGAAGAAGCACCGGCUAACUACGUG
rnacentral:rRNA from 1 species